UUGGGAAUAUUGCACAAUGGGCGCAAGCCUGAUGCAGCCAUGCCGCGUGUGUGAAGAAGGCCUUCUGGUUGUAAAGCACUUUCAGCGGGGAGGAAGGCGAUAAGGUUAAUAACCUUGUCGAUUGACGUUACCCGCAGAAGAAGCACCGGCUAACUCCGUGCCAGCAGCCGCGGUAAUACGGAGGGUGCAAGCGUUAAUCGGAAUUACUGGGCGUAAAGCGCACGCAGGCGGUCUGUCAAGUCGGAUGUGAAAUCCCCGGGCUUAACCUGGGAACUGCAUUCGAAACUGGCAGGCUAGAGUCUUGUAGAGGGGGGUAGAAUUCCAGGUGUAGCGGUGAAAUGCGUAGAGAUCUGGAGGAAUACCGGUGGCGAAGGCGGCCCCCUGGACAAAGACUGACGCUCAGGUGCGAAAGCGUGGGGAGCAAACAGG
rnacentral:rRNA from 1 species